ACUAAAUAGAUACCUUGGUAGUCCACGCCGUAAACGAUGAUUACUCGCUGUUGGCGAUACACUGUCAGCGGCUAAAGCAAAAGCAAUAAGUAAUCCACCUGGGGAGUACGGCCGCAAGGUUGAAACUCAAAGGAAUUGACGGGGGCCCGCACAAGCGGAGGAACAUGUGGUUUAAAUUCGAUGAUACGCGAGGAACCUUACCUGGGCUUAAAUGUAGAGUGCUAUUUCUAGAGAUAGGUAACUUCCCGUUCGGGUCUUCUGCAAGGUGCUGCAUGGUUGUCGUCAGCUCGUGCCGUGAGGUGUCGGGUUAACGUCCCAUAACGAGCGCAACCCUUAUCGUUAGUUGCCAUCUGGUAAAGCGAGGGGACUCUAGCGAAACUGCCACCGUAAGGUGAGAGGAAGGUGGGGAUGACGUCAAAUCAGCA
rnacentral:rRNA from 1 species